rnacentral:rRNA from 1 species
GACGAACGCUGGCGGCGUGCCUAAUACAUGCCAGUUGAGCGCUGAAGGUUGGUACUUGUACCAACUGGAUGAGCAGCGAACGGGUGAGUAACGCGUGGGGAAUCUGCCUUUGAGCGGGGGACAACAUUUGGAAACGAAUGCUAAUACCGCAUAAAAACUUUAAACACAAGUUUUAAGUUUGAAAGAUGCAAUUGCAUCACUCAAAGAUGAUCCCGCGUUGUAUUAGCUAGUUGGUGAGGUAAAGGCUCACCAAGGCGAUGAUACAUAGCCGACCUGAGAGGGUGAUCGGCCACAUUGGGACUGAGACACGGCCCAAACUCCUACGGGAGGCAGCAGUAGGGAAUCUUCGGCAAUGGACGAAAGUCUGACCGAGCAACGCCGCGGGAGUGAAGAAGGUUUUCGGAUCGUAAAACUCUGUUGGUAGAGAAGAACGUUGGUGAGAGUGGAAAGCUCAUCAAGUGACGGUAACUACCCAGAAAGGGACGGCUAACUACGUG